GUUUCUAGUGGCGGACGGGUGAGUAACGCGUGGGUAACCUGCCUUAUACAGGGGGAUAACAACCAGAAAUGGUUGCUAAUACCGCAUAAGCGCACAGGACCGCAUGGUCCGGUGUGAAAAACUCCGGUGGUAUAAGAUGGACCCGCGUUGGAUUAGCUAGUUGGUGAGGUAACGGCCCACCAAGGCGACGAUGCAUAGCCGGCCUGAGAGGGCGGACGGCCACAUUGGGACUGAGACACGGCCCAAACUCCUACGGGAGGCAGCAUG
rnacentral:rRNA from 1 species